rnacentral:lncRNA from 1 species
UGCAGGGCGGCCGCAGGAGGGAGCGGCCGGGAGCGCUGCCCUGGAACGGGGCCCUGUUCCCGGGCCGGCGCCGCCCGUUCCGCGCUCGCUCCGGGGGGCGCUGGGAGCCCGAGGGGGCCCGGAAACGGAAACGCUCCCGGAGCGGCGACGACGGAGCCGGGAACGGCGGGAACAACACCGGGAACGGCUCCGGGAACGGCUCCGGGAACACCGGGAAUGGCGAUGGGAACACCGGGAACACCGAUGGGAACACCGGGAACGGCUCCGGGAACACCGGGAACGACCCCAAAAACACCCGGAGCGACAGCGACGGCAACGAGCGCGACUCCGAACACGGUAACGCCGGCCUGCCGGGAAAUUCCA